GUGGGUAAGCGCUGUGCUGGGGGGGAGGCCGGACAGGUGCAUUGUGGGUAAGCGCUGUGCUGGGGGGGAGGCCGGACAGGUGCAUUGUGGGUAAGCGCUGUGCUGGGGGGGAGGCCGGACAGGUGCAUUGUGGGUAAGCGCUGUGCUGGGGGGGAGGACAGACAGGUGCAUUGUGGGUAAGCGCUGUGCUGGGGGGGAGGCCGGACAGGUGCAUUGUGGGUAAGCGCUGUGCUGGGGGGGAGGCCAGACAGGUGCAUUGUGGGUAAGCGCU